UUGUCUCCCUCUCACAGCGCACACACAUAAAUGCAAGGCAAUUGCAACAACAACAGCAGCCGCACCAACCACAUAUAAUUGCUGUUCCAAUAACCUCUAACCCGAAGGCACAAAGCAGACAAACAACACAGAAGAGAUAACAACGAGAAAUACAAAUUGUGACUCGUGCCGUGCCACAACAAAACGAACACCGAACAAAUAACCAAAUAUAUUAAACUGUCAAACCAAAUAAUAACCCAAGACAGUCACACCCACACACACACUCACACAAUGGCAGGGACAUGGACAUGGCGAGCAGAGAGAUGAGAGAAAGAGGCAGCUGCAAUUCGCACAACUGCGCGCAAGGGAGACACACAUAGCAGAAAAGGCAAAGGAGGAACACAUAUAUUUACAGUAAACCCAAGAGAGUAUACCAAGAGAAUAACAGAGAGAGAGGAUCAGCUCUGCCUACGCGACCCGAAAGUUGUUGUUGCUGCUGCCACACAUCUAACCUCAAAUCGCUGCUGUUUUUGGUAAUAAACGAAGCGUUAAACAAAUUGCAUUACAACAACAACCACAACAUAGAAAACACAUUUUUGGUUUCUUUCCGAUUUGAUGUCUAGCAUAUGCAAAGCGUCAUAAAUGAGGCUGCCGAUGCCGCUGCUGCUGCUGGUGCUGCCUUGGGCGUAAUUACAUCCACAGCCAAAAAUGGUCAAACGAGCGAGAAAAUUAUCACAUUGCAGCCCACUGUGUGUUGUUGUAAUGCCAGCCACAAAAAGACUGAAAUUAAAUGCAAAUUUUUGGCUAACACAAAACAAAAUUUAUACACACACACACAAGAGGUUUCAUAAUCAGGAAAUUUACUAUUUUUCGGUGUCUUGAGCGGAGGAAAUUAAAAUUGUUGCUGCCGAAGAUUUGACAUUUGAUAUGCAAUUUGAAUAAUUUUGCCACUCCACUCCACUCCUCGAAAAUGCCAUACACAUACGAGAAUGUAAGGCAAAACUAGUUCCAACCUCAGCGACAACAGCAAAUGCCACGGAGAGCGGGCCUAAAUCCAAUACAGACAUAAAUCAAUGAACGCAAAAGUCGAAGGCAGCCCAGAAACACAGAAAUCAGCAAAUAAAUUGCACAGCAAUAAUGGAAAA